UUGAUCCUUUACAAGACUUGAAACAACUAUUAUGUCCUUUUUAUUCAUUUUUGAUUUAUUUAUUUUUCUUUAAACGAUUUUCUAUAAUAUAUAUAUAUAUAUAUAUAUAUAUAUAUAUAUAUAUAUAUAAAAACAUAAGGGAUGCACAACAGACCGACCUCCGACUUCAUUGACUUAAACCGUCGGCCGGUCAAGGAAAAGCCCGAUCACCGCUUCCGAUUUCUCCGGAGGUGAGUUAAACUUCAGCCGCGUCUCGACCCCGUUCUUAUUUGCUCUGGGAAGGAAAUCAAACAACGAGAAGCUAUUCAACUCCACCUCUAAUCAAUCAUCACCCUACAACUCCUUGGUCUUCAAAUACCAGUACUUAUAGAUGUCAACAUCGCUUCCAAAGACGUGUUUUAUGGUCUUGGAGAGAGAACGCAACCACAUAGAGAUUUAGUAACAACACCACCACCCUCUGAUUUGGGUCCAAGUUUCAGAGAUGGUGGUUGCGGUGGUGGAGAUUGAUGGUCAUUAUUGGAUUCGAGUUUCUGAUCUGGAUCUGCUUCUACUCUGAUUUGAAUUUGCUUCUUCUCAUAUCUGAAUCUACUUCUUCUCUAAUCCCCUUCUCUCCGGUAAUCCCUACUCCACAACGGGUUUAAAUUUCAGAUCUAAAUGUAGAUCUGAUUGGGUUCACUAUCCAGGAAAGGUUAUUGUUUUCCCUUAAUGCUCAAAGCAGCCACAUACCAAGAUCGUCAUGUUGAAGGAUUAAUAGAGCAAGUACUCAUCUUUUAUUUGGUGUACCAUGCUUGUUUGUGUUUAUAUAUUAGUAUAUAUUUCAUUGUGUCAUAAAUUUGAUGUUUGGUGUUAACAUGUUAUAAAAUUGUUGGGGAUAAAAGAUUGUGUCAUUUAGUACAAAACCGAAUCAUAUGAUAUUACAAAUGGUUAUCAAGUA